rnacentral:rRNA from 2 species
UGGGGAAUAUUGGACAAUGGGCGCAAGCCUGAUCCAGCCAUGCCGCGUGAGUGAUGAAGGUCUUAGGAUUGUAAAGCUCUUUCACCGGAGAAGAUAAUGACGGUAUCCGGAGAAGAAGCCCCGGCUAACUUCGUGCCAGCAGCCGCGGUAAUACGAAGGGGGCUAGCGUUGUUCGGAAUUACUGGGCGUAAAGCGCACGUAGGCGGAUAUUUAAGUCAGGGGUGAAAUCCCAGAGCUCAACUCUGGAACUGCCUUUGAUACUGGGUAUCUAGAGUAUGGAAGAGGUGAGUGGAAUUCCGAGUGUAGAGGUGAAAUUCGUAGAUAUUCGGAGGAACACCAGUGGCGAAGGCGGCUCACUGGUCCAUUACUGACGCUGAGGUGCGAAAGCGUGGGGAGCAAACA